AAACAUGUCUUUACGGUCCCUAUAUAAAGUCUAGCCUGCCCAUUGACAUAAAGGUUAAAAGGCCGCGGUAAUUUGACCGUGCGAAGGUAGCAUAAUCAUUAGCCUCUUAAUUGGGGGAUGGAAUGAAGGGUUGGAUGAGAAGUAAUCUGUCUUUUUAUUAAGGUUUGAAUUUUACCUUUAAGUGAAAAGGCUUUAAUUUUAUAAAGUGAAGAUAAGACCCUAUAAAACUUUACAUAAAUUUAGAUUAUUUUUAAUUUAUAUUGAAUAAAAUUAGUAUAAUCUAAUUUAUGUUUCGUUGGGGCGACGAGAGUAGAAAUAAAAGUAUCUGUUUUUAUAAUAAGUUAAUAAUGAUUAAAAAUGAUCCCUUCCUAAGGAUUAAAAGAUUAAGUUACUUUAGGGAUAACAGCGUAAUUUUCUUUGAGAGUUCUUAUCGACAAGAUUAGUUGCGACCUCGAUGUUGAAUUAAAAUUAUUCUUCUAAGUGCAGAAGCUUAGAAAGAAAGUCUGUUCGACUUUUAAAUUUUUAC
rnacentral:rRNA from 1 species